rnacentral:rRNA from 1 species
AGUGAACGCUGGCGGUAGGCCUAACACAUGCAAGUCGAACGGCAGCACAGUAAGAGCUUGCUCUUACGGGUGGCGAGUGGCGGACGGGUGAGGAAUACAUCGGAAUCUACUUUUUCGUGGGGGAUAACGUAGGGAAACUUACGCUAAUACCGCAUACGACCUACGGGUGAAAGCAGGGGAUCUUCGGCCCUUGCGCGAUUGAAUGAGCCGAUGUCGGAUUAGCUAGUUGGCGGGGUAAAGGCCCACCAAGGCGACGAUCCGUAGCUGGUCUGAGAGGAUGAUCAGCCACACUGGAACUGAGACACGGUCCAGACUCCUACGGGAGGCAGCAGUGGGGACUAUUGGACAAUGGGCGCAAGCCUGAUCCAGCCAUACCGCGUGGGUGAAGAAGGCCUUCGGGUUGUAAAGCCCUUUUGUUGGGAAAGAAAAGCAGCAGGUUAAUACCCCGCUGUUCUGACGGUACCCAAAGAAUAAGCACCGGCUAACUUCGUG